AUUGAACGCUGGCGGCAGGCCUAACACAUGCAAGUCGAGCGGAUGAGGGAAGCUUGCUUCCCGAUUUAGCGGCGGACGGGUGAGUAAUGCCUAGGAAUCUGCCUAUUAGUGGGGGAUAACGUUCCGAAAGGAACGCUAAUACCGCAUACGUCCUACGGGAGAAAGUGGGGGAUCUUCGGACCUCACGCUAAUAGAUGAGCCUAGGUCGGAUUAGCUAGUUGGUGAGGUAACGGCUCACCAAGGCGACGAUCCGUAGCUGGUCUGAGAGGAUGAUCAGUCACACUGGAACUGAGACACGGUCCAGACUCCUACGGGAGGCAGCAGUGGGGAAUAUUGGACAAUGGGCGAAAGCCUGAUCCAGCCAUGCCGCGUGUGUGAAGAAGGUCUUCGGAUUGUAAAGCACUUUAAGUUGGGAGGAAGGGCAUUAACCUAAUACGUUAGUGUUUUGACGUUACCAACAGAAUAAGCACCGGCUAACUUCGUGCCAGCAGCCGCGGUAACAC
rnacentral:rRNA from 1 species